UUGGAGGGCAAGUCUGGUGCCAGCAGCCGCGGUAAUUCCAGCUCCAAUAGCGUAUAUUAAAGUUGUUGCAGUUAAAAAGCUCGUAGUUGAACUUUGGGUCUGGCUGGCCGGUCCGCCUCACCGCGAGUACUGGUCCGGCUGGACCUUUCCUUCUGGGGAACCUCAUGGCCUUCACUGGCUGUGGGGGGAACCAGGACUUUUACUGUGAAAAAAUUAGAGUGUUCAAAGCAGGCCUUUGCUCGAAUACAUUAGCAUGGAAUAAUAAAAUAGGACGUGCGGUUCUAUUUUGUUGGUUUCUAGGACCGCCGUAAUGAUUAAUAGGGAUAGUCGGGGGCGUCAGUAUUCAGCUGUCAGAGGUGAAAUUCUUGGAUUUGCUGAAGACUAACUACUGCGAAAGCAUUCGCCAAGGAUGUUUUCAUUAAUCAGGGAACGAAAGUUAGGGGAUCGAAGACGAUCAGAUACCGUCGUAGUCUUAACCAUAAACUAUGCCGACUAGGGAUCGGACGGGCUUCUAUGAUGACCCGUUCGGCGCCUUACGGGAAAC
rnacentral:rRNA from 1 species